UGGCUUCGAAUGCUUAUUGCACCACAUGUGUUUUUCUUUGAAACAAACUUGCUUUGGCGGUGGGCCCAGCCUGCCGCCAGAGGUCUAAACUUACAACCAAUUUUUUAUCAACUUGUCACACCAGAUUAUUACUUAAUAGUCAAAACUUUCAACAACGGAUCUCUUGGUUCUCGCAUCGAUGAAGAACGCAGCGAAAUGCGAUACGUAAUAUGAAUUGCAGAUAUUCGUGAAUCAUCGAAUCUUUGAACGCACAUUGCGCCCUCUGGUAUUCCGGAGGGCAUGCCUGUUUGAGCGUCGUUUCUCCCUCAAACCGCUGGGUUUGGUGUUGAGCAAUACGACUUGGGUUUGCUUGAAAGACGGUAGUGGUAAGGCGGGAUCGCUUUGACAAUGGCUUAGGUCUAACCAAAAACAUUGCUUGCGGCGGUAACGUCUACCACGUAUAUCUUCAAACUUUGACCUCAAAUCAGGUAGGACUACCCGCUGAACUUAAGCAUAUCAAUAAGGCGGAGGAA
rnacentral:rRNA from 1 species